rnacentral:lncRNA from 1 species
CCUGAACUUCCGGCCCCUCAGUAGCUCAGGGAGGUAAAUCGCGGGAUGUGCCCAAGUUGACCAGGGUUCGAACAGCCUUUAUACUCUUGGCUCCAAGGGAGCCUCCUCCAUGAUUAUUACAUCACCAAGCUGCUCCAACCCUUCCUCUGGUUAUUACAACACUCAGCUGCUCCAACCAGGAAUCGAACUCCCCACGCUGGGGUUGCGAGCCCCGCACUGUCCUUCCUUUG